AGCGAACGCUGUCGGCAGGCCUAACACAUGCAAGUCGAACGAACCCUUCGGGGUUAGUGGCGGACGGGUGAGUAACACGUGGGAACGUGCCUUUAGGUUCGGAAUAACUCAGGGAAACUUGUGCCAAUACCGAAUGUGCCCUUCGGGGGAAAGAUUUAUCGCCUUUAGAGCGGCCCGCGUCUGAUUAGCUAGUUGGUGAGGUAAUGGCUCACCAAGGCUACGAUCAGUAGCUGGUCUGAGAGGAUGACCAGCCACAUUGGGACUGAGACACGGCCCAAACUCCUACGGGAGGCAGCAGUGGGGAAUCUUGCGCAAUGGGCGAAAGCCUGACGCAGCCAUGCCGCGUGGAUGAUGAAGGUCUUAGGAUUGUAAAAUCCUUUCACCGGUGAAGAUAAUGACUGUAGCCGGAGAAGAAGCCCCGGCUAACUUCGUGCCAGCAGCCGCUGUAAAAC
rnacentral:rRNA from 1 species